GGAUCUCACCACGCAUCCUUGGUGGGGAUUAUACCACCCACACCUAUAUGGCAUAAUCAUCCCAUCACCCAUCAAGGUUGACUAUUUGGACUUUUUUCUCUGAUAUUUUGGACAGUUUUUUAUAGUAUAUCUUAUAUUUUGUCAUACCCACGAAGAUCUCUCAUUUUUGUUUCAUCCCUUAGUGCACCCUUCUCUCUGUGUUUUGUAUAUGGAUGGUAUAAUCCCUGUUUUAGGAUUUGUAGUGUAGUAAAGCGGAAUCUAUAAUCUCCUCUUAAAAUAUCAGCUUGAAAUGUAAAGAUAAAAAAAGGAAUAUCCAAUGGUGUAGUUUAAAAGAAAUUGCCAGAGAUGGAUAUAAAAUAUUUUACUUGCAUAACCUAGAGCAAGAACCUUAAAAGUAC